GAUGAACGCUGUCGGCGUGCCUAAUACAUGCAAGUCGAGCUGAGCGGGGACGGGUGAGUGACACGUGGAUAACCUCCUAUAAGACUGGGAUAACUUCCGGAAACCGGAGCUAAACCGGAUACUUAUACAUAGAUGCGCGCUGCAUUAGCUAGUUGGUAAGGUCACGGCUUACCAAGGCAACGAUGCAUAGCCUACCUGAGAGGGUGAUCGUCCACACUGGAACUGAGACACGGGCCAGACUCCUACGGGAGGCAGCAGUAGGGAAUCUUCCGCAAUGUGCGAAAGCCUGACAGAGCAACGCCGCGUGAGUUAUGAAGGUCUUCGGAUCGUAAAACUCUGGUAUUAGGGAAGCGGUACCUAAUCAGAAAGCCACGGCUAACUACGUGCCAGCCGCCGCGGUAAUUC
rnacentral:rRNA from 1 species